GGCAUGAAAGACAGGUGCAAAAAUAAAUCCUCUUUUGCAACCCAGAAUUCAUUGUUCAGUAUGGAAUUUUGAUACAUAGAAGGAGGAAUAUG
rnacentral:snoRNA from 1 species